CCUACGGGAGGCAGCAGUGGGGAAUAUUGGACAAUGGGCGCAAGCCUGAUCCAGCCAUGCCGCGUGUGUGAAGAAGGCCUUAGGGUUGUAAAGUUCUUUUGUUCAUGAAGAUAAUGACGGUAAUGAACGAAUAAGCCCUGGCUAACUCUGUGCCAGCAGCCGCGGUAAU
rnacentral:rRNA from 1 species